ACCAACCAAGCUGAACCAGAAGAAAAGAAAGUUGAUGUAGUUGUUGAAGGGAUGGUAUAUUGCCAAAGUUGUGACCAUUAUGGUUCAUGGUCUUUCAAUGGGGCUAAGCCAAUUCGUUCUGCUAAAAUUAGUGUAAUCUGCAAGAACCAUAGAAAGCAAGUUAGUUAUUAUAAGGCAGUUGAAACUGAUGAGAAUGGUUAUUUCUAUGCACAACUUGAUGGUUUCAAAAUGGGUCAUAGUCUUUUAGACCAUCCUCUCCAAUCUUGCCAUGUAAAGCUGGUUUCAUCUCCUCUUGCAAAUUGCAGCCUCCUUUCUAAUGUUAACUAUGGAAUCUAUGGAGCUCCUCUUCGUUUUGAGAACAAGAUUCUUAGAGGAAGCCAUUAUGAAGCAGUGGUUUAUAGUGCUGGUCCCUUGGCUUUCCGUCCAGCUCAUUGUUCUCCUGAAUCUCAUGUCUAAUUUGAUAACAAGGCACUUCAUUCUGGUUUCUUUUUCUUCUCUUAUUGUUGAAUUUGACUUCUUUUUUGAUAAAUUCGAUUUUGUUGCAAUGUAAUUUCGAUUUCUUCAAAAUAAAGAAAAGUCAUAAAAAGUUGUUUUGAUUUGUUUUCUAAGCUCAAUAAAAAACAGAAAAACAAAAAAUCAAAAACCUGAAACAGAAAUGAUAUUUAACACUUCCUAAACUCGAAAUUUCUUCACCAAAGGAUGCAACUAAGAACAGGAUAACAUAAUCGUUAUUUCUCAUUGCAAUAAGAAAAAUUCCAAACGAUUCUGACAAAACUAGGAAUGUCAUUACCAAGCAUUUCAGACACACCAAAGCAUCUUUCAUUCAAGAUCAAAACUGUUAAAAUUUAUAUUAGCUUAUGUUUCCUGCCAUGUCUAGCACGCAAGCUCUAAAGUCUAAACUACCACAGGAAGUUCCAUAACCGGCUUGUCCAUUCCGGCCUGGCUUUGAUCUGGAUUCUAAAAAACACAUGGAAAGAUGGAAAAGAAAAAACACUACAAAAGAAGAACAGAAAACGCUUACAACACAUCAAUCCUGCAUCUCUACAGAAGAAGCAAGCCUCUCUACGACAGCAGCAGGAGAAGCAGGCAUCCACGGAACACAUAUCAUCACCAGUAACAGCAGAAUCAGAGGCAUCAGCAGAUGCUUGAAUCUCUAAUGCUAUGUUUGGAAAGGGGAGGAAGUAAAAUUAGAGAGGAAGGAAAAUAAAAGAGGUCAAAAAGAGAGGAUUGUUACUUCAUUUUCC
rnacentral:lncRNA from 1 species